rfam:Cellulomonas sp. Leaf395 contig_5, whole genome shotgun sequence.
GGGCGAUUGGCUCAGUUGGUAGAGCGCCUCGUUCACACCGAGGAGGUCAUCGGUUCGAGUCCGGUAUCGCCCA